rnacentral:tRNA from 1 species
GCUGGUGUAGCUCAGUGGUAGAGCAGCUGAUUUGUAAUCAGCAGGUCGUAGGUUCAAAUCCUAUCGCCAGCU